rnacentral:rRNA from 1 species
AACGAACGCUGGCGGCAGGCCUAACGCAUGCAAGUCGAGCGAGGACUUCGGUCCUAGCGGCGGACGGGUGAGAAACGCGUGGGAACGUGCCCUUUGCUUCGGAAUAGCCCUGGGAAACUGGGAGUAAUACCGGAUGAGCCCUUUGGGGGAAAGAUUUAUCGGCGAAGGAUCGGCCCGCGUUGGAUUAGGUAGUUGGUGGGGUAAUGGCCUACCAAGCCGACGAUCCAUAGCUGGUUUGAGAGGAUGAUCAGCCACACUGGGACUGAGACACGGCCCAGACUCCUACGGGAGGCAGCAGUGGGGAAUCUUAGACAAUGGGGGAAACCCUGAUCUAGCCAUGCCGCGUGAGCGAUGAAGGCCUUAGGGUUGUAAAGCUCUUUCAGCUGGGAAGAUAAUGACGGUACCAGCAGAAGAAGCCCCGGCUAACUCCGUG